GAUGAACGCUGGCGGCGUGCCUAAUACAUGCAAGUCGAGCGAACAGACGAGGAGCUUGCUCCUCUGACGUUAGCGGCGGACGGGUGAGUAACACGUGGAUAACCUACCUAUAAGACUGGGAUAACUUCGGGAAACCGGAGCUAAUACCGGAUAAUAUAUUGAACCGCAUGGUUCAAUAGUGAAAGACGGUUUUGCUGUCACUUAUAGAUGGAUCCGCGCCGCAUUAGCUAGUUGGUAAGGUAACGGCUUACCAAGGCAACGAUGCGUAGCCGACCUGAGAGGGUGAUCGGCCACACUGGAACUGAGACACGGUCCAGACUCCUACGGGAGGCAGCAGUAGGGAAUCUUCCGCAAUGGGCGAAAGCCUGACGGAGCAACGCCGCGUGAGUGAUGAAGGUCUUCGGAUCGUAAAACUCUGUUAUUAGGGAAGAACAAAUGUGUAAGUAACUAUGCACGUCUGGACGGUACCUAAUAGAAAGCCACGGCUAACUACGUG
rnacentral:rRNA from 1 species